UUCUCCAUCUUAUUCGUUAAUAUAUUCUCACACCGCAGUCUUCCCUCAGCCCUCUCUCUCAACCUCUCGGUCCGGUUAAUUGCCUCUUGCACCAUCGAAUGACCCUACCGAAACCCAGACGAAGAACCCCCAAAUUUUACCCAUAAAACCAAACUCAGACCGCUGCCUCCUCCAGCUCAAAGGCGAAAGGUGUAGUUGUUUCUUUUCUCCUCUUCUUUUCCUAAUUUGAUCUGCAUAUUAUAAUUUGAUAAUUUUUGGAAGGUUUGAAAAUUUGAAAGCAGAACUAUCUUGUGUAUUUUAACGAUUGAUUUACGAAUCCCUGCAUCAUGAGUUUCAGUUUCCAGAUUAAUUAAUCAGUAUCUUGUGGAUUUUAACAGGUGCGAAAUCUCUAGUUGUUUGGACUCAGGGUUCCAUUUGACAGCGCACUCGCACUAGCCCAAAUUUCUUUAUAAUUAGGGAGUCUGUGAAUCAUAUUGCAUUUCAAGAUAUGAACUUUGCCCUUAUCUACACUUGCACUAACCUUCAAUUGUCAUCAUAAAUUUGCUACAUUUUCCUAAUGCUUGAAUUCCUUGUUUUUUUUCUCUCUCUUUUUGAAGGAGAUUAAUUAAUUAAUUAAUUAAUUAGUUAACGCAUUCAUUCAAAUGAAGGAUUGAGGCAGUUUUUGCAACAAAUAUUUUGAUACGAAGAUGCUUCUUUGAGCCUGGAAAUGCAAAUAUAUUGACCAAAACCAAUGAAUAGGAGGGAUUCGCAUGCUAGGCAGUAGUAAGAGUAGCAACAUAGUAGUCAUUUACUGUUUAAGCUAAUUUUGAGUUAGUCCCUACCCUUUUACCCAUUUAUCUUGAUUAUUAAUGGUCAUCUAUCUCUAUGGUAGGUAUUAACUGCAGCAUUAUGAUUAAAUGUCAUCUUCUGCUUUCCUCGAAUUUACUAAUUCAUGACUCUUAGAUUCUCCUCAUUUUUUUUUUUAACUUCCUUGAGCUUGUGGAUGUAUCUUUUAAAAAUAUCCAUUACAAUUGUGGUACACAUGGAUGUUGAGGUAAUUCAUAAUUUUCAUAUAACAGAGGCACAAGUGCUGUACAUGACAAUUGACAUUAGGUACAAUUUGUCUUAAUAUCUUGGAAAAAUUUGGUGUAGAGGAAUGGAAAUAGGCUUGAAGAUGAGCUGCCCCUUGAAGCAAAUGGGAGACUACACCAAGUCAAGGAGAAGGAGCUUAAUUAAUGGUAUUUUAAGGUAUUUUUCUCUAACAACAAAUGACGUGGAGAGAUAGUCUAGAGUCCUGAAUCUUUGCAUCAUGAGGAGGAUAUGGUUCAGUGGACAGAAAGUUAAGGCCAUGGGCUAAAGCUUUAUAGGCUGUUCUGUUUGAAAACCACAACUAGGAAGAAGACUGCAUAAUCAAGCAAGUUGGGAGACCCGGUGCUAAAAGAUUGUCUGUUCUUGCAAAGUUCUUACCAGAGGAAAGCCAAUACUCAAUUGAGUGAUUGUGGCAAAUCCAAUCAAGCAAGGAGAAACUCAAUGGCGAAUCAAGUCAAGCAAGGAGGAGCUGAAUGGUAGGUAAUGGUGAAUAGCAAGGUGGAGCUUAAUGAAAUUCUGUAUUUAUUCUCUUUUCCAAGUAAGUUUUUGGUUUUUAAUAUCAUAACUGUAAUAUCCUUGUUAAAGAGGUUGACCACUUGCAAUACUUGGUCUAUUUUCAGUAUGAAAAUAUUAAUGUAAUAGUCCUAAGGAUAGGUCCACCACAUGCAUCCCUAAACCCUAAA